ACGAAGCUCAUUAGGAUGUCACGU
rnacentral:siRNA from 1 species